rnacentral:rRNA from 1 species
UGGGGAAUAUUGGACAAUGGGCGCAAGCCUGAUCCAGCCAUGCCGCGUGAGUGAAGAAGGCCCUCGGGUUGUAAAGCUCUUUUGUCCGGAAAGAAAAGCAUCGGGUUAAUACCCCGGUGUUCUGACGGUACCGGAAGAAUAAGCACCGGCUAACUUCGUGCCAGCAGCCGCGGUAAUACGAAGGGUGCAAGCGUUACUCGGAAUUACUGGGCGUAAAGCGUGCGUAGGUGGUUCGUUAAGUCUGAUGUGAAAGCCCUGGGCUCAACCUGGGAAUGGCAUUGGAAACUGGCGGACUGGAGUGCGGUAGAGGGUAGCGGAAUUCCCGGUGUAGCAGUGAAAUGCGUAGAGAUCGGGAGGAACAUCCGUGGCGAAGGCGGCUACCUGGACCAGCACUGACACUGAGGCACGAAAGCGUGGGGAGCAAACA